GGAAUAAUACAAGGUGUUGGAUAUUGACAGCGUUCUCGCUCUAAUCCGCCAUCUUGGCUCCCUUAGCUAUAUCGGUGUUUCCCUCUUGAAAAAACUACAUUUUAUCGCCUUUAAAAAAGUACUAAACUACCUCAUUCCCUAUUCCAAAACUGAUUUGCAAUCACUGAACAAUUCUUUGACAUUUACUCUAUUCUUAUCGUUGGCAACUGAAAAUUAAAUUAGAAAUUUCAACAUUAAUUCGGCAAAAAAACAUCGGUUUAGAGUAGAGAGAUUUGUAGUUAUUUUGGUCGGUGCUUCCUUCCGCUGCAAUUCCGUCUGUGGUUCACUGCCACUGGCCUUGCUUUUUCAACGAUAUAACUGUUUUCUUGUGAUUUUUGCUGCUGCAAUCCCGUCUGUGGUUCACUGCCACUGGCCCUGCUUUUCCAACGAUAUAACUGUUUUUUUGGUAACUUCUACCGCUAAGACUUUGUUGCUUUUUCCCUUUUCCCUAAAAACAUAAUAGUGCUACAAAGCUCAAUAACAAUAUGGAAACAAAUGUUAAUAAGCCACAAUAAUAUUGACAAUAAAUAAGAUUUCACUACGA